AUAAGUAAUUUUGAUGUAUGGUAUUGUAAAUUCACUUAAACAUUGAGUUCCUCCCUCAAAAUUCCACAUCCAAACACAACCAGGCUAUUUAUUUGUUGCACUUCAACUCUGACCAUUGCUAUCAUGUUAAAAUACAGUGCUCUUGGGGGAGCAAGCCCACUCCACCUGGAACUGCUUCAAAUCCCCUUCCCCCACCUGCUGCUGCAUCUCUGCCUGGCCUGUCUGCAACUGAUCUUUUGGCGUAUGAGCGACAGCUAGCAAUUAGCAAGAUGGGUGGCGUCCACGCCUUGAUGC
rnacentral:lncRNA from 1 species